UCCCUCAUGAGAAAUACAAAUGGUUUUGUCUUUUUUUUUUUUUUCAUCUUUAAUAAAUCAAAAUCUGAGAAGCAUUUCCUAAGUGUUUUCCCUGUGGCAGUGGAGGGGAAUAUACAUCUUAAUUUUGAAGUCAUUUGGACAUUUUAAAAUAUGGAGUACGGAGAAUAAAGUAAACCCAUCUCUACAAAGUAGAUGCUAAAAUUCCUUAACGCCAAUGAAUUACAGAAUGUGGUUGAUGAAAGUAGUUCUACCGUUUUUAAAAACAGGUGUCAGAAGUAGCCAAGCUUCCCCACCCCUGAGUGGCAUCUGGGUGAGGAAAAGACUACUGUGUGCUUUGCUGAUGGCUGUACUGUUCUCUGCGCACCCCUGAACAGUGUCCAGCACAAACUAUGAUGUAUGGAAUUCUGGCAGCCAACUUGUGACCAUGAGGCAGAGUCCAAGAAAACUACAGAGAUGCCAGGACCAAGGUGAUAAACCAACCAGCAGCUACCUGCCUCCAGAGUUUUUGAUAUGGGAGGAAAAUAAACUCUUACUAGUUUAA